rnacentral:rRNA from 1 species
UACGUAGGGGGCAAGCGUUGUCCGGAAUUAUUGGGCGUAAAGAGCGUGUAGGCGGUCCGGUAAGUCAGCUGUGAAAGUCAAGGGCUCAACCCUUGAAAGCCGGUUGAUACUGCCGGGCUAGAGUCCGGAAGAGGCGAGUGGAAUUCCCGGUGUAGCGGUGAAAUGCGCAGAUAUCGGGAAGAACACCCGUGGCGAAGGCGGUUCUCUGGGGCGGUAUUGACACUGAUGAGCGAAAGCCAGGGGAGCAAACGGG